UUUGUUUCUCAUAAGUCAAACUUGUUCAAUUUUGAUCAAGUUUAUAGAAAAAUAUAACAAUAAUUAUAUUAUCAAACAUAUGCAGUAUCAAAACAUAUUCUAUGGUAGCUUCAACCAAAUAAAUUUGGUAUUAUAAAUGUUGUUAUAUUUUUCUAUAAACUUGGUUAAAGUUAAAUAAGUUUGACUUAGAACAAACCAAA
rnacentral:pre_miRNA from 1 species